AAGGGUUUGGCUGUUCGCCAAUUAAAGCGGUACGCGAGCUGGGUUUAAAACGUCGUGAGACAGUUUGGUCCCUAUCUUCUGUGGGCGUAGGAUACUUGAGAAGAGUUGACCUUAGUACGAGAGGACCGGGUUGAACGUACCUCUGGUGUUCCAGUUGUUCCGCCAGGAGCAGUCGCUGGGUAGCUAUGUACGGAAAGGAUAACCGCUGAAAGCAUCUAAGCG
rnacentral:rRNA from 1 species